UACGGAAGGCAGCAGUGGGGAAUAUUGCACAAUGGGCGCAAGCCUGAUGCAGCCAUGCCGCGUGUAUGAAAAAGGCCUUCGGGUUGUAAAGUACUUUCAGUCGUGAGGAAGGUGUUAAGGUUAAUAACCUUAGCAAUUGACGUUAGCGACAGAAGAAGCACCGGCUAACUCCGUGCCAGCAGCCGCGGUAAUACGGAGGGUGCGAGCGUUAAUCGGAAUUACUGGGCGUAAAGGGCACGCAGGCGGUUAAUUAAGUUGGAUGUGAAAUCCCCGGGCUUAACCUGGGAAUGGCAUUCAAGCUGGUUAGCUAGAGUCUUGUAGAGGGGGUAGAAUUCCAUGUGUAGCGGUGAAAUGCGUAGAGAUGUGGAGGAAUACCGGUGGCGAAGGCGGCCCCUGGACAAAGACUGACGCUCAUGUGCGAAAGCGUGGGGAGCAAACAGGGAUUAGAUACCCGU
rnacentral:rRNA from 1 species